CUAUUUAUGAUUUCUUUUUUUUUUUCUUUUUCUGAGCUAGAGUCUUGCUCUGUUGCCCAGGCUGGAGUGCAGUGGUGCAAUCUCAGCUUACUGCACCUCUGCCUCCCAGGUUGAAGCAAUUCUCCUCCCUCAGCCUCCCAAGUAGCUGGGAUUAUAGGCGCCUGCCACCAUGCCCAGCUAGUUUUUUAUUUUUAGUAAAGACAGGGUUUUACCAUCUUGGCCAGGAUGGUCUUGAACUCCUGACCUCGUGAUCCACCUGCCUCGGUCUCCCAAAGUGUUGGGAUUACAGGCAUGAGCCACUGCACCCUGCCAACAUAAUUGUCUUUAAACAACAACAACAGAAGCUGGGAUAUGAGGUCCUAUGGACCACAGUUUUACAGCCUACUGAGGUAUCAGAUGACCUUUCUGAAACCCCAAUGCAGCCAGUUACUUAUUCCAACUUUUAUCCUAUAAAAGGCCUUUUCUACCCUGCAGACUGGUGAGCCUAUGCCAAGGAACACGGCGCUUAGGCUGCAGAUUGUGAGGGUCCUUGGAUCUCUGACCCCCUAGGUGAAGUGGAGACAGCCCAAGGGCAGCACCCUCUGGCCCACAUGCUUCCCAAAUGCUGCCAUUUCGUCUGCACCAAGAAGCAAAAUGCAUCAGAUGCAGAUUUAUGGCUCCUGAACAGUUGCACUGUAAAAAAACCCAGCUGAAGACCACUUUAGAAACUCAAUUAAAAAAGCUCAAGAGGAGAACAAGAAAAUAGUACUGGCUGGAUGUGUUCCUCAAGCCCAGCCUCGCCAGGACUACCUUAAAGGACUGAGUAUCAUUGGGGUUCAACAGAUAGAUCGUGUGGUAGAAGUUGUGGAGGAAACAAUUAAAGGUAAUCGUGAGAUAAACAGAUGUUCAUAUUUUCUGAACGACGUAAUAGAAACACCGCUCAGUUAACUCUUGCCAGACAUCUUUGUAAGUUAUUGUUUUAGGUAUAAAAUCGUAGAAUGUUAUCCUCUGCUUCACGGAUUUGCCAUUCUAAUAUUGGAGGCAGGCACUCUACUGUAUAUUUGUUUGGCUUAUAAGUGAAUCAGGCCAAGAGCAAUGGCUCACUCCUGUAACCCCAGCUGUGGGGACUGGCGCUGAGGCUGGAGGAUUCCUGAGGCCAGGAGUUCAAGACCAACAUGGUGAGAUCCUCGGAUCUCUGGGGGAGGAAGUCAGCUGGAUGCUGCGAUGCGUACCUGUAGGCCCAGCUUCUCAGGAGGUUGAAGCAGGAGGAUUACUUGGGCCCAGGAGUUCAAGUCUGCAAUGAGCUUUAAUUGUAUAACUGCAGUCCAUCCCGGGCAACACAGUGACAUCCUGUCUUUAAAGAAGAAAUUUAUCAGCCAGAUGCGGUUGCUUACGCCUGUAAUCCCAGCACUUUGGGAGGCCGAGGUGGGCGGAUCACGAGGUGAAGAGAUCGAGACCAUUCUGGCCAACAUGGUGAAACCCUGUCUCUACUAAAAAUUACAAAAAUUAGCUGGGCACAGUGGCAGGCACCUGGAAUCCCAGCUACUCAGGAUUCUGAGGCAGAAGAAUAGCUUGAAUCAGGGAGUCAGAGGUUGCAGUGCACUGAGAUUGUACCACUGCACUCCAGCCUGGCAACAGAAUGAGGCUCUGUCUCAAAAAAAGAAGAAAUUUAUCAGGUCAUAGUUUUUAAAAAUUAUUAUUUUAUUUUUGUCUAAAAUUAGUUUGAAUUUCAGAUUAAAAGAAUUUAAUCCAUUUUAAGAUUAAGAAAUUGGCUGGGCGUGGUGGCUUAUGCCUGCAAUUUCAGUCCUUUGGGAGACUGAGGUGGUCGGAUCUGUUGAGCCCAGGAGUUCAAGACCAGCUUGGGCAACAUAGCAAAACCUCAUCUCUACAAAAAACAGAAAAAUUAGCUGGGUUGGCGGGGUGCUUCUGUAGACCCGUCUAUUCAGGAGGCCGAGGUGGGAGGAUUGCUUGAGCCUCGGAGGUUGAGGCUGCAGUGAACAGUGAUUGCACCACUGUGCUCCAGCCCAGUCGAGAAAGCAAGACCCUGUAUUGAAAUAAAAUAAGGAAUUUUUUUAUUUGUACAUUUUUAUAGCACGUUAUUAGUUGUUAUUUUAAGUACUUUUAAUGGUAAUAAUUUUGAUACUCCUUCAAGGUGUAAUUUUUCUCGUUGCACUAAAAAUUUUGCAAAGAAAACAGAAAUAAGCUUUGGUUAUUUUGUUAGCCAACACUCACGGACAUACUAAGGUCACUGUGAAAUAAGUCAUCUGCAAUUCUGGGGAUAAUUUUAAAUUUUUUAAAGGCUUUUUCCUCUGUUAGAUUAGCACAAAUGAAAACCAAUAAUAUGAUACUGAAAUAUUCAGUAAAUUGAAAGUCUCACUUAAAAACUGUUUUGUUAUAAAUGAGAAAUUUAUAUAUUAACAGAUAGUCUCCACCUGCCAAACUAGAAAUUUUAAUGCUGCACUUUUCCUUCUGGGUGGUGUCUGCUACUUUUCACAUGCAUCUAUUCAUUAAUUUUGGAUCAUUGCUUUAUCAGAGAUUGUCACAGAAUCAAUUUCUAAUAAAUGAGAUUAUGAGAAUGAAACUAUACCGUAAUCUUUUUAAUUUUUUAAAUAAUUUUUUAUUUCAUAAUUAGAGAUGAGGUUUUGCCACGUUGCCCAGGCUGGUCUCGAACUCCUGGGCUCAAACAAUCUGCCCACCAUGGCCUCCAAAAGUGCUGGAAUUACAGGCAUGAGCUGCUGUGCUCGGCCCUUAAUCUUCUUCUGAUGUUUCAAAAUAAAAUGAAAUAUCAGGACUAAAAAUUUAUGGCAAUGAUAAUUUGAAUGUUUUUACAAAUCAGUUCAACUCCAUUUUGCAGCAUCUAGAAGUGCUAACUGUUAGUUUGUUCUUACAGUGUGACAGGCACUAUUUUAAACACUUCACAUGGGUUAAGUCAUUUCGUCUUCAUAGUAGGACUGUGAAGUGAAGUGGGCAUAAAUAUUUUCCUGAUUUUUCAGAGGGCAAAGUUGAGACACAAGGGUGUACAGUAAGUGGCAGCAUUGGAAUUUGAAUCCUGGCAGUUUUGCUCCAAAGCCUGUACUUGAGCAUUGUACUGUGAUCCACACAACACUGUUGUUUCUCUGCUCUCUCCGCAUCGAGAUUCACUACCUUAAAGGUUAUUUGAUUGAGUGUCUUAAGCAGCGAUUUAAGAUACUUGAGGGUAUUUUUGCCUUAUUUAUCCUUUAUCUUGAGUACCAAGUAUAUACAGGCCACUCAGUAAUUUUUAAAAAAAUUAGUGAUAGUGAAAAUCUAGGUGAUCUUGGGUAUGGUGUGAUUUUUUUUGAUACAACAUCAAAAGUAUGCUUUAUGAAAGAAAUAAUUAUCAAGUAAGGUGUCAUUAAGUUGAAAACUUUUUUGUUCUGUAAAAGACAGUGUCAAGAGGAUGGGAAGAUAAGCCACAGAGUGGGAGAAAAUAUUUUUAAAAUACACAUUAAAAGGACUAUUAUCCAAAAUAUAUGAAGACCUCUUAAAACUCAGAAAAGGAACAACAUAGUUAAAAAAUGGGCAAAAGACUUGAACAGACACUUUAAUCAAAGAAGAUAUGCAAAUGAAAAAUUAGCAUAUUAAAAGAUGUUCAGCAUAAUAUGUCUGUCAUUAGUGAGUUACAAAUUAAAGCAACAGUGCAAUAUAGUGGUAUAUUACAACCACACACCUGGUACGACGGUCAAAAUCCAAAACACUGACCAUUCUGGCAAGGAUGUGGAGCAACAGAAAGUCUCAUUUAUUGCUGGUGGCAAUGCGAAAUGGUACAGGCACUUUGAAAGGCAGUUUGGCAAUUUCCUUAAACACAGCCUCAUAUAAUCCCACAGGUGUGCUUCUUGAUAUGUAUCCAAAUGAGUUGAAAACUUAUGUCUAUCCAAAACACACAAUAUUUAUGGUAGCUUUAUUCAUAAUUGCUGAAACGUAAAAACAAAGAAACGGCCCUUCAGUAAGUGAAUAAAGAAACUGUGGUACAUGCGGACAAUGGAAUAUUAUUUGGCACCAAAAGAAAUGAGCUAAAAAGCCAUGAAGAGCCUAAAGGAUAACCAUGGUGUGAAAAUGGAUACCAUGAUGUGAAAGACGUCAGUCUGUAAGGCUACAGACUGUAUGAGUCCAGCUAGUCUGACAUGGUGGAAAAGGUGAAGUAUGGAGGGGGUAAAAGGAUCAGUUGGUGCCAGUGGUUAGAGAGUAGGGAGGAUGUGUAGGCAGAAAACGGAAGAUAUUUAUGGCUGUAAUUCUAUUCUGUAUGAUGCUGUAAUGGUGGACAGUUGUUAUUAUACAUUUGUUCAGACCCUUAGAGUGAACAACACCAAGAGUGAACCCUAAUGUAAACUGUGGACUCUUGAAAACGGUGUGUCGGUACAGAUUCAUUGAUAUUAACCAAUGUACCACUCUGGUGCAGGAUGUUGAUAGGCUUUGUGUGGGAUGGGGGCAAUGAUGUGUGGAAACUCUGUACUUCUGCUGAGUUUUCUAUGAAUCUAAAACUACUCUAAAAAAUGAAAUCUGUUUUAGAAAAUUAAUGGUAGUUAACAGUGUGCUUAGGAGUUUGCUAAAUGACUUGGAGAGAUACACUUUCUAUAGGAAAUCGUAUAAGACCUGUUACUCUCAGGCUCAGUUAAUCAGGGAUAGCUUCCUACUGAUGAGUGUGGACUUGAGUGGAUUUAUUGGAGAGAUUGUGUUUGCAUUUAGCUAUGAAAGUGAGUAGAAGAUUAAGUUGAAGGGGAUAUUAAUUGGCAGGUUUGCUGAGAUGAUGGUAAGUCUGAUAAAUUAAGUCUUUCUAAUGCAACAGGAGAAUAUUUUUAGAUGGAAGGAAUAAUUUUGGUAGUUUUCUUUAGUUUGCAGAUCAGGAAGCUGAGCUGUGGAGGAGUUACAUGGUUUUUCUGAGAUCUCUUAGUUAAUGGAGAACUGUUUCUAUCAGUCAGUCAACUUCUGUUCUUCGCUUUCUGUUUCUACCGCCAGUACUUCAUUCAGACAACAUAUGUCACUGAAAUAAUGCAGUUUUUACAGCAGUUAGGCGGUUGUUGGUUGUCUUUCAGCAAGUUACUUUUCUGAGGCUUCAUUUUCUCAGCUAAAAAUGGGCAGGAUUAAAUGGAUAAGACUUUUGAAGUACACAGAACAUAUUAGGGCAUUCAUGUUAAUGCGUACCUCUUACUUCCUCUUUAAUGCAUGAACUGCUGGAGUAAUUUAACUGAUCUUUGCCAUCCAGUGACUCUCCUUUCAAUCUGACUGCCUGUUCUGCUGCCAGUAACCUGGGAUUAUUUCACUCUCCUAUGUGUAUACCCUCGGUGGUGCCUCUUACCACCAAAUUAAUUUGGGACUUUCUGCUAUUUUCACUUUGCUCCAGCCACCUCUGCUGCUUGAUGUUUCUUAGAUGUAUUUUCACUGUGCUUUACAUUAACUUUAUGGUCCUCCACGGAAGUGGAUGUCUUCUGUUUGCCCUCCCAGAUCCACUCUCCAUCUUGAUCUGUGUCCGUGAUCUGACCUGUAGGGACUGAUCAGUUAGAUUCCUGCCAUCUCAUGCCCAGUUGGAUUCAGCCAAUUGGAGAAUGUGACAAGAGCGAGAUAAGAGUGUUCAUUCCCAUCCCUCCCUCCUUCGCUGCUCGUUUUGGGUAGGUUGCUUUCCUUACCCCAGGGUCACAGCAAUUGUCCGGUGACCCUCUCUGUUUAUCGCUUUCUCCAGGUUUCUGCAGCUGUUCUCCUCCUUGCCUCUGGGAUGGUAACAGCACCCCAUUGUUGCUAGCCUUAGUGUAUUGCAUUGUCUGCUGGUUUUCCUAAACCUGCCCAGAUUUUAGUAAAUCGUUCCUUUAUGAAAAUCUUCUUAGUUAUGUGGUGAGCCAUCUGCUUUGCUGGUACCCCGACUGAUAAGAAGUUAGCUGUGGAGCAGCAAGGCUCUGCCCAGAAGGUCCGGAUGGAAAACAGCCUAACAGGAGGAUUUUGCCCUAACCCUCUUGUUUCCACAUUUGAUCCCUGUUGAGCUGUCUUCGUAUCUCAUCUUUGAAGGGGCUUUAGACAUACAGCCUCUCUCACAGCCUGAUUGCAUUAUUCUUAUUGCUGCUUAUGUUACACCAAGUAGUAUUUUAAAAACUGGACUGAUAAGGUACAUUGAUAACUAAAAGCAUUUAGCUCUAUUAUAAUUAAUAUAAAACCAUAAGGCAUGUUUUCAUUUAUCUGUCUUAACUGUAUCAAAAUGGUGAAUUUUUGAUAACGUAUUCUGAAUGGAUCAUCAUGUUAAUAGCAGCCUGAAAAUUCCAUUCAUUUGUGGUUUUGGCUUCAGGAGACACGAAAUUAUAAUGAAUUUAGGAUUUUUUUUCUGUAUCACUUUCAACAUUUUACUAGGUGUGGAACUGAAUGUAAGGAAAGAAAUACAGUGACUAGUGGAUUCAUAUUCAUUUCUGUCUUUUAAAAAUAUUCACACUUACCUUAGUCUUGGCUCAUAUGGUUAUUAAAAACUUUUUUUUGGUAUGAAAACUAUGAAAGGAAUAUAAAUCUGCAUUUCUUCCAAAAAAAGUAUGUGAAAUCCUCUAAACAAAAAAAUUAUUACAAAUAAUCUUAUCUUUUUAGAAAGGUAAGUCUAAUUGGCUAUCUUACGACAAAUUAUUGCAAGUAAAUUUUACCUAUUGAAAUUAGAAAACUGUUUUCAUCAUUAAGUCGUAUUUCUUCUCCGGUCAACCUCUGUUGAGAUCCCUGUUGUAAUUAUUAUGUUUGCUGGCAUCUUAUUCAGUCAAAUUCCAAAUGCCUCAAGUGGUGGUAAUUCAGGGGUUUCCCAAUGUGGUGUAAUUUGCAAGUUUCACUGAUUUUCCGUUUUUUCUAACUUGUCAGUAAUUGAUGCCAUCUUGGGAUAGACCGACUGAAAUUUCCAGGGUACAUCACCAAGCAGCUUUCUUAUUUAAGACAUUGCUGUUAAUCUUCACUCCGCAAGGUUUUGUACUUUGCAUGUGGUACUUAUUUAGAGCCUAAACUGUUCAUAAGUUGAGACUGCGAAGCAGGACUGUAUCCAGGGUGGUUUUAUCAGGGUUAGUGACUGAAUAACCACCUUACAGAGCCCAAUGCAGACUUCCUUGACGAUGUUUUCCAGACUCAGUGAGGAAGUGAUUGAGCUCAGAUAUGUAGCAUGCUGUGUCUAGAGAGUAUUGGACUACAGAAGACAUCUGCUUUUUCAACAGUUGCUUUUCAAUCAAAUAAUUUGUAUUGAUUUCUACUAUAUGCUUUGAAAGAAUACUUUUCUGCGCCCUCUCAUUGUCUGUAACCUCUGACACAGUUAGUAUAGUCUGAAUGUCGCGGAGAAAAGUUUGUGCAUUGCUUUACAUAUUAGGAAUACUUUCCGGUCUCAUUGGUGUAAGUAAAUACAGAAUGACUUCCACCUUCUAGUAAGUAAAGGAACAAGGAAUUUAUUACUUUAUUUAGUUUUUUUUUCAAUAAGCCUGUUUGUUUUAAGUUUAUGAAUACUUUACUCUAUGAUUACGGUUUGGUAACUUGCAUUUCCAGUUGCAAAGGCAAUGGUUACAUUCUUAAAUGUAGUUUAUCUGCCUUGCUAUCCUCUUUUCUUCCUAUCUCCUUCUUUGUUUCCCUCACGUUAACGAUAGGAUUCUAGCUUUACUUAUUUGUAGUCCGUACAUCUACAUACAUUAUUUCUAGGGUGAACUCCUUGUUAUUCAUUGUGUCUCUCUUAGAUAGCAUUUUUCAAACCAUAGUAUUUUUUAAAAAUAAUAGUAGACUAAUUUCUUUAUGGCUCCAAACAAAAAGUUUUAUGAUGAGACUUUUGGUUGAUUUUUUACACCACUUCAUUCUAUAGCUUGGUUUGAAAAAGGACUUCCGUAAGUGUCACCAGCAUGUGCUGUCUCGUAUGUAUUUCUGUAACUUUCCAACUCUAUUGGCCAAAUUAUCAGUCCUGUUUUUAGCUACACAUAUACUGAGCAGCAGCUACAAUAUGUAUAAUAGUUGCUCUAGAAAAAGUCUUCUUUAAACAUUGUAAAUGGUCAAGUUCACCGGUUUUUUAAAAAUGAAGAUGGUAAGUAACUUUACAUUUAUCUAAUAUUUUUAGCCAUUAAAGCUUUUAGAACACCGAAUGCCUAAAUGAAUCCCCCCAGGUGGAUUCUGCUGCUUUGCGGUGGCCUCAGAAUGGUCUUCAUGCUUUUUGUUCAUCCUUAAAUUUAAUUAUACAGCUUUAGUGUAUUGAUUGCUUAUAUUUCCUUUUCUGCUCAAAGAUGCAUUCUUAAAUUAUUAUUAUUUGAAACCAUGUUUCAUCAUUAAGGGAGUUUAUUUAUAUGAGGAUAUGGGUGUUUCUCUAACUUUUGAUUUCUUAAUUCCGGUUUUUUAGUGGGGUGAGCUGGUACAUAGUGUUGAAUAGUUUAAGUUGAUGAUCAUGCUGUAGCUUUCACAUAAUACGCUAUUAUAGUGGUUCACUAGAUUUGAUUGUUGUAAGCAAGGAAAGGAAAUUACUUUAGGCUUGAACCUCACAGGCUUCCCGUGACACAGUCCUUCCACUAGUCGUCACACUGGCCUGUCCAGUAUCGUAUCCCCAUCUUUCCUUGUUUAACUGUUAACCAGGACUUACCUACCAUUAAAUUAGACUUACAUAUUAACUCUGGUGAAUCCUGGUAGUGUUUUGGCAGAUUUCAUGAAGGUGAGAGUACAAGUAUUGUUAAGUCUUUACAAGUGUGUUAUCAUUUAGACUUUUGUGAAACUGUUAACGUGAGCAAAUAUAUGUUUGAACAUCCUUGCUUUUACAUCUGUAUUUUAAUAAUUUUUAUUUCUGGUAUUUAGUAUUUUCAGAUAUGGCAAUUUCUGAUUCCCAGGGUUCUCAUUUCUCAAUCAUAUUACUUUUUGUUGAUACAUAAAUAAUAUAAAGCAUCAACCCCAGAAAGAAUUUGUAUUAUACUAAAUGUCAUAGUAUUUGUUACAGUAGGAGCUAUUUAGUAAAAAAAAAAAAAAGAUUAAUUGAUCAUUGGCAGUUGCUACACUGCUUUCAUACACUGCAUAUGUAUCAUAUGCUUUAUUACGUGACUGGAGACAUGUUAUUAUUCAUUAGAGAAUCCACUGUUUUUGGUUAGUAAAAUAUAGUGAGAAUAGAUGAGAAUGUAAACUUAGAAAAAAAAUAAACACUGGCAACUUCAUUGCAUUUUUCAAAUGCAGGGUGAAUUGUAGGUUAAUUGUGGUAUUUUCUGUUUUGCUUUGAUUGUUCUCAGCACAGUAGUAAAUUGUACUGUAUUGAUGAUUCUUCUUUAGGACUUUAUAGCUGAUUUCCCUAAAAAUAGAAAUGUAAAGUGGGAACCAGGUCAUGUUAGAAAUGCUUUAGUAUCUAAAGCUUUGAUACGAAAAUAAAUAUACAUAGAAAUUAUUAUCUUUGAAUUUAAAAAAAAACAAAGAUUUUAUUGUUAGGGAAAUAAUUUAUUAUAUCACAGGCAAGUGAAAGCUGGCACCACAAAGUAAUCUGAUGGCUCAGAUGUGGGUAGAAAAGAAAUUUAAAUCUGACUUUCUCUUUUUCUUGAAAAGUUAUAUUUGAUAAUUGGAAUAAUUAAU